rnacentral:lncRNA from 1 species
AAGGAUAGUAGAGAGCUGCCCAGUUAAUGAAGGAGGUUCAAAUGAGCGCCCUCCACGAAAGAGGAGGCAGGGUUGUGCUGAAGGAAACAAUGGGAUUGAAUGCACUUCUUCUCCUACUGUGAUGAUUAGGCCUUCUGGUGAAGCAAGAGGUCAUACUGGCUAUUUGACAUUUGCCAGACUCAAAUGUUUUGCGUAAUAUGCUUCAUCAAAGAUCCAAAUUUUGUGGUGGAGCACACUUUUCGUGCUUAUGUUGUGCUUAUUUCUUGAUGAUUCGACAAGUAGAAUUCUUGUCGUUAACAGUUAGUAAGGAGCAUACUAACCACAAGAGAUAUCACAGUUUUGCUCAAGAUUUGACAAAGAGAGAGAAAAAGUUCUUCUACUCGAAUUUUAUAGUGUGUUAUAAUUUUGCUUUUUUGCAUUGUUUCUUCUAAUCCCAUUUUUUAAGUGCCUGGAGGUACCCUGCAUGUUUUCUUUUUCUUUUGGUUUUUACUUGAUUGUAAUCCUGGUUUCCUUUGCCGUUAAGAAGUAGUUCUAGACUAGUGGUGGCAAAAUGGAUAAAAGUAACAGCUAUCCAUCCAUAUUAUCCACUAAAAAAUGGGUCAAAUAUGGAUAAGAAUCAUAUUAUCGAUG